UACGUAGGGGGCUAGCGUUGUCCGGAAUCAUUGGGCGUAAAGCGCGUGUAGGCGGCCCGGUAAGUCCGCUGUGAAAGUCGGGGGCUCAACCCUCGGAUGCCGGUGGAUACUGUCGGGCUAGAGUGCGGAAGAGGCGAGUGGAAUUCCUGGUGUAGCGGUGAAAGUGCGCAGAUAUCAGGAGGAACACCGGCGGCGAAGGCGGCUUCCUGGCCUGUUCUUGACGCUGAGGCGCGAAAGCUAGGGGAGCAAACGGG
rnacentral:rRNA from 1 species